UUGAUUGGAAGGUCGAGUUGUAUGACUCAUUGUCACACCUGUUUGAUGAAGGCAAGGCUUCUGUGCGCGACGAUGAGAUGAAGCCCAUUACUCGUCUCAUGCCUCGUCUAUUAGAGCUCUCCGGUUAUUGGGAGAACACAACUCGGAUAAAGAGAGAAGACGAGAUGGAGCUUCGUAAGAUGCCGAGUAGUGCCCAGUUCGCCCAGGUCGACAACCACAGUUGCGGCCCUUUCGCUUGCAUGUAUCUUGAUCGUUUAGUUGCCACUCCUGACAAAAAGCUGAGACAUUCGGAACAAAUCACCGAAAAAUAUAUCAAGAAGUAUAGGUGGAUUGUAGGAUCUAGAAUAUUUUGUCUCACUCAAAUUUGAAACAUAUUGAGACUUAUUUUGAGAUUUAUUGAGACAUAUUUC
rnacentral:lncRNA from 1 species